rnacentral:rRNA from 1 species
CGCGGUAAUUCCAGCUCCAAUAGCGUAUACUAAAGUGUUGCAGUUAAAAAGCUCGUAGUUGGAUUUCUGGCGGGGACGGCUGGUCGGUCUCGAAAGGGGCUGUACUGCUGUUGGUUCCCGUCAUCCUUGGGGAGAGCGGCUCUUACAUUAAGUUGUCGGCGUCGGGAUCCCUAUCUUUUACUGUGAAAAAAUUAGAGUGUUCAAAGCAGGCUUAGGCCCUGAAUACAUUAGCAUGGAAUAAUAAGAUACGACCUUGGUGGUCUAUUUUGUUGGUUUGCACGCCAAGGUAAUGAUUAAUAGGGAUAGUUGGGGGUAUUCGUAUUCAAUUGUCAGAGGUGAAAUUCUUGGAUUUAUGGAAGACGAACUACUGCGAAAGCAUUUACCAAGGAUGUUUUCAUUAAUCAAGAACGAAAGUUAGGGGAUCGAAGAUGAUUAGAUACCAUCGUAGUCUUAACCAUAAACUAUGCCGACUAGGGAUCGGUGGGUGCAUUUUUAGGCCUCAUCGGCACCUUAUGAGAAAUCAAAGUCUUUGGGUUCCGGGGGGAGUAUGGUCGCAAGGCUGAAACUUAAAGAAAUUGACGG